ensembl:lncRNA
CUCGUGGGCGGCACGUGGCGCGGAGCGGUGGGCACGCGGGGAUGGGGACGUGUGUGCCACCAACGCGCCUCGCCCGCCCUCCCGUCCCCGUCCCCUCCCCGCCCCCUCCCCGUCCCCUCCUCGUCCCCCCCCGUCCGCAGCGCCGGGAGGGCAGCGAGAAGCGCGACGCGUGCCAACAUGAGCGGGCGGAGCAGAUCGGAGCCGCGAUUGAGGAGCGGCACUCCCCGUAUGGGGCUCCGGCUGAUGACACCGCAGCCCGGCUUUGCCGCAUGUCGCUGCCCCGGUCCGGUUCUCACUGAAGUAACCGCGCUCGGGGUUUGCAUCAUUCCCGGCACGGCGUCGGGCGCGGAUGGCUCCGGUCCAGCGGUGCCGACGCGGAGCUGCGCGGCAGCGGUAAGAGAUCGUGGAGGAGAACCGACGGAGGGCCCCACGGUUGGGCUCCAUGGAGCUUUUCCCAGCAGUAGGACGGACCAAACCCGGAGGGGUCAACGGAGGGCAGAGCCCACAGUCACCCCCAGCGCGGAGGUGGAGAUUCUUGACGUUUGCCCGAGGCAAAGAAAGGAGAACAAGGAUUUCACCCAUGGCCAAGAGAAAGCAUCGGCUCAUCAGCACGAGCGGCGUCAUGUGGGGGCUUCUGCCUGCCACAGUUUUGGUUCCUCUGGGCGGGUUCCUGAGGCAGCACUGCUGCCAGAGCCAACUUUCCUCGAGCGCUGCUUCCCACGCACAGCUCAGCAUCCCCGUGUGCCACCACUGGGCUCUGCAUGAUCACAUCCCCAUCCCCAUCCCUGCAGCGGGGACGGGCAUGGAGCAGCUUUGUGGGGUGAGCAGCAGCUGCAUGGAGAAGCUGAAGGCACGGGGCUGCCACGCUGUCCCUGAGCAGCCCAGCUCCCAGCAGGAUGGCAAUCCCCACCGCAGGAUCUGAGUUGUGCAGGUGCUCAGUUCUGCUUUAGCGAUGCGUUUUUGGAGCUGCGGGCGCUCCGUGUGCUGCAAUCCCCUCCGCAUGUGAUGCACGGAGGGUCGCGUGGAGCAUCAGAGCUUUUGCAAAGCUGGAUGUUUUCCUCCCAAAGGCGCCAGCGGCGAAGCCGGAAAUUUUACUGCCCGGCAACAGCAAUAAAAUUUGUGCUUUCGGAGCAGCAUUUGCGGAUGCUGAACGAUCUGUUGGGAAAUUCCCCGCGUGCCCUCAUUGCGCUGCACGAUCAGAGCAUCCCCCACCUCCAGCAGCGCUGCGCUCAGUCGGAGGUCGCGUGGAGGAAUUUCCUGCCUUUAUCGCGGGUGGGGGCAGCGGGCGGAGCUCAGGGCACGCAGAGCACGGGGAGCUGUCAGCCAGCUGUGCGCCCUCCCUGCGCGCCUCUGGGCAGGAUGAGGACCAGCGCUGCGCACGGGGGGUGCCGCCAAUGGAACCCAUCGCAUCCACCUGCAGCUCUGCGCCGCGACCCGACGGCGGAAGGAAGGGGAAGGAGAACCCGGGCGGCGCCACUUCCCCCAGCAGCGCCCGCAGUGCUGCAGCACCCCGAGGAGGGCACCGUGGGGCUCCCACUUCUCCUCCCUCUGCCGGCACCAGCCCGGUGCCCUGAGCUCUGGGUGCGCUGCAGUAACGGCGGCUGUUUGAGGUCGCGGUGACGCAGCUGAGCUCGCAGCACCGCAGCAUUGCUGUGCACAGCUUUGCUCUCUCGGAGGUGUGGAUAUGGGCACGGAGGGCUCAGAAAUGGUGGCCGCAGCCUGGAGUGCAGCGUCCCGUGCCCUCCCCGUGCCGUCAUGGUGAAUGUGCACAACGGAACCCGCCCGACCUUUGGCCAUCUGUAAAUAGAAGGGCUGGAUCAGGUGAGCGUGGGCAGCCUUGGUGCUGCUGCAGCAGGAGUGGGACUGACUGCUCUCCCUUUGUUCUGCACUUACGGCAUGCACCAAAAAUGAGUCUUUUGCCUCACUUGGAAGCCACGCUCCCGACCUGACGGCACUCACAUCUGCCGGCUCAGCCCACCCCCGGACCCCUUCGUCUGUGCAAGACGGGAAAUUGCUCAAACCCUACAGCCAAAAAUGGAGAUCUCACCCUGGAUGGUGUCAUUCACCGCCCGACAGCGCUGCUCUCAGCAGCAGAACGUCCCCAUCCCCACCAGAAGGGCAGCACAGAGCUCCCCAGAGCCAUUCCCGUGUGAAAGUCCGAUCCCCUGCACUGUGCUGCCGUGGGAAUACCGCGGAGUUCUUAUGGUGUCCGGGCACUGCGGGGACAGCGUGGACAGGGGCUGAUGAGAGCUCAUAUCAGUGGGGUGGGGAGCACCCAAAAGGAGAAGAGAACAGAGGGAG